rnacentral:piRNA from 1 species
AGCGUCCAUCAGGUUCUUGGCCUGGGCUGC